rnacentral:rRNA from 1 species
UACAGAGGGUGCAAGUGUUGUUCGGAAUCAUUGGGCGUAAAGGGCGCGUAGGCGGCGGGAUAAGUCAGAUGUGAAAGCCCUGGGCUUAACCCAGGAAAUGCAUUUGAAACUAUCUUGCUUGAGUGCGGGAGAGGGUAGUGGAAUUCCCGGUGUAGAGGUGAAAUUCGUAGAGAUCGGGAGGAACACCAGUGGCGAAAGCGGCUACCUGGUCCGCAACUGACGCUGAGGCGCGAAAGCGUGGGGAGCAAACAGG